CCUACGGGAGGCAGCAGUGAGGAAUAUUGGUCAAUGGGCGCGAGCCUGAACCAGCCAAGUCGCGUGAAGGAUGACUGCCCUACGGGUUGUAAACUUCUUUUAUCAAGGAGUAAAGUGAGGCACGUGUGCCUUUUUGUCUGUACUUUAUGAAUAAGGAUCGGCUAACUCCGUGCCAGCAGCCGCGGUAAUACGGAGGAUCCGAGCGUUAUCCGGAUAUAUUGGGUUUAAAGGGAGCGGAGAUGGGUUGUUAAGUCAGUGGUGAAAUUUUGAGGCUCAACCUUAAAAUUGCCAUUGAUACUGGUAGCCUUGAGUACAGUUGAGGUAGGCGGAAUGCGUGGUGUAGCGGUGAAAUGCUUAGAUAUCACGCAGAACUCCGAUUGCGAAGGCAGCAUACUAAACUGCCACUGACAUUGAUGCUCGAAAGUGUGGGUAUCAAACAGGAUUAGAUACCCGAGUAGUC
rnacentral:rRNA from 1 species